GAAGAAAAUGACUGUACCCGAAUAAGAAGGUCCGGCUAACUUCGUGCCAGCAGCCGCGGUAAUACGAAGGGACCUAGCGUAGUUCGGAAUUACUGGGCUUAAAGAGUUCGUAGGUGGUUAAAAAAGUUGGUGGUGAAAUCCCAGAGCUUAACUCUGGAACUGCCAUCAAAACUUUUUAGCUAGAGUAUGAUAGAGGAAAGCAGAAUUUCUAGUGUAGAGGUGAAAUUCGUAGAUAUUAGAAAGAAUACCAAUUGCGAAGGCAGCUUUCUGGAUCAUUACUGACACUGAGGAACGAAAGCAUGGGUAGCGAAGAGGAUUAGAUACCCUCGUAGUCCAUGCCGUAAACGAUGUGUGUUAGACGUUGGAAAUUUAUUUUCAGUGUCGCAGCGAAAGCAAUAAACACACCGCCUGGGGAGUACGACCGCAAGGUUA
rnacentral:rRNA from 1 species